UCUAAGUCAGCGUCUCCUAAAGAGCCCGAACAGCUGCUGAAGCUUUUCAUUGGAGGGUUGAGCUUUGAAACAACUGAUGAGAGCCUGAGGAGCCAUUUUGAGCAAUAGGGAACGCUCACGGACUGUGUAGUAAAGAAAGAUCCAAACACCAAGCACUCCAGGGGCUUUGGGUUUGUCACAUAUGCCGGUAUGGAAAAGGUGGAUACAGCCAUGAAUGCAAGGCCGCACAAGGUGGAUGGAAGAUUUGUGGAACCAAAGACAGCUGUUUCAAGAGAAGAUUCUCAAAGACCAGGUGCCCACUUAACUGUGAUAAAGAUGUUAAAGAAGAACUGAAGAACAUAAACUAAGAGAUUAUAUUGAACAGUAUGGAAAAAUUGAAGUGAUUGAGAUCAUGACUGACCGAGGCAGUGGCAAGAACAGGGGCUUUGCCUUGUAACUUUUGAUGACCAUGACUCCAUGGAAAGGAUUGUCAUUCAGAAAUACCACACUGUGAAUGGCCACAACUGUGACUUUAGGAGUGCUCUGUCAAAGCAAAAGAUGUUUAGUGCUUCAUCCAGCCAAAGAGAUCGAAGUGGUUCUGGAAACUUUGGUGGUGGCGUUGGAGGUGGUUUUGGUGAGAAUGACAACUUCGGUCGUGGAGGAAACUUCAGUGGUUGUGCUGGCUUUGGUGGCAGAAGUGGUGGUGGUAGAUAGGGUGGCAGUGGGAAUGGCUAUAACAGAUUUGAUAAUGAUGGAAGCAAUUUUGGAGGUGGUGGAAGCUACAAUGAUUUUGGCAAUUACAACGAUCGGUCUUCAAAUUUUGGACCCAUAAAGGGAGGAAACUUUGGAGGCAGAAGCUCUGGUCCCUAUGGUGGUGGAAGCCAAUACUUUGCCAAACCAUGAAACCAAGGUGGCUAUGGCAGUUCCGUAGCAGCAGUAGUUACGGCAGUGGUAGAAGAUUUUAA
rnacentral:lncRNA from 1 species